rnacentral:rRNA from 1 species
GCGAACGCUGGCGGCAUGCCUAACACAUGCAAGUCGAACGAAGGCUUCGGCCUUAGUGGCGCACGGGUGCGUAACGCGUGGGAAUCUGCCCUUUGGUUCGGAAUAACAGCUGGAAACGGCUGCUAAUACCGGAUGAUGACGAAAGUCCAAAGAUUUAUCGCCAGAGGAUGAGCCCGCGUUGGAUUAGGUAGUUGGUGGGGUAAAGGCCUACCAAGCCGACGAUCCAUAGCUGGUCUGAGAGGAUGAUCAGCCACACUGGGACUGAGACACGGCCCAGACUCCUACGGGAGGCAGCAGUGGGGAAUAUUGGACAAUGGGCGCAAGCCUGAUCCAGCAAUGCCGCGUGAGUGAUGAAGGCCCUAGGGUUGUAAAGCUCUUUUACCCGGGAAGAUAAUGACUGUACCGGGAGAAUAAGCCCCGGCUAACUCCGUG